GGUCGGUUAGCUCAGUUGGUUAGAGCGUGGUACUAAUAAGCUAUCCGGCUUAUCAUAGUAAAUGCCAAGGUCAUGAGUUCGACCCUCAUACUGACCA
rnacentral:tRNA from 1 species